rnacentral:lncRNA from 1 species
AAUAUACAUAAUAAUCUGUUAGUUGAAAUAGGUCUAAAUUUAUGCUCUGUGACAAUAGGUUUAGGAGACUAUUAAGUUAAGUUGGGUUGAACCUAAUAAGUUGAGUAGAGCUACAGACCCAACAAUACACACAACAUUCAGAUGAUUGAGUCAGAUUGAAACACAUGAGCAUUGUGACUGAGCUCUUAAAUGCGAUAGAUACGUACGUUCUUUCUAUGAGUAUGCAUUUUUGGAAUAGUUGGUUAAUAUUUACGAUUUACACAAUCUAUCUUU